AGACCCGAAACCCGGUGAUCUAGCCAUGGGCAGGUUGAAGGUUGGGUAACACUAACUGGAGGACCGAACCGACUAAUGUUGAAAAAUUAGCGGAUGACCUGUGGCUGGGGGUGAAAGGCCAAUCAAACCGGGAGAUAGCUGGUUCUCCCCGAAAGCUAUUUAGGUAGCGCCUCGUGAAUUCAUCUCCGGGGGUAGAGCACUGUUUCGGCUAGGGGGCCAUCCCGGCUUACCAACCCGAUGCAAACUGCGAAUACCGGAGAAUGUUAUCACGGGAGACACACGGCGGGUGCUAACGUCCGUCGUGAAGAGGGAAACAACCCAGACCGCCAGCUAAGGUCCCAAAGUCAUGGUUAAGUGGGAAACGAUGUGGGAAGGCCCAGACAGCCAGGAUGUUGGCUUAGAAGCAGCCAUCAUUUAAAGAAAGCGUAAUAGCUCACUGGUCGAGUCGGCCUGCGCGGAAGAUGUAACGGGGCUAAACCAUGCACCGAAGCUGCGGCAGCGACACUGUGUGUUGUUGGGUAGGGGAGCGUUCUGUAAGCCUGUGAAGGUGUGUCGUGAGGCAUGCUGGAGGUAUCAGAAGUGCGAAUGCUGACAUAAGUAACGAUAAAGCGGGUGAAAAGCCCGCUCGCCGGAAGACCAAGGGUUCCUGUCCAACGUUAAUC
rnacentral:rRNA from 1 species